rnacentral:rRNA from 1 species
GAUGAACGCUGGCGGCGUGCCUAAUACAUGCAAGUCGAGCGAACAGACGAGGAGCUUGCUCCUCUGACGUUAGCGGCGGACGGGUGAGUAACACGUGGAUAACCUACCUAUAAGACUGGGAUAACUUCGGGAAACCGGAGCUAAUACCGGAUAAUAUAUUGAACCGCAUGGUUCAAUAGUGAAAGACGGUUUUGCUUUCACUUAUAGAUGGAUCCGCGCCGCAUUAGCUAGUUGGUAAGGUAACGGCUUACCAAGGCAACGAUGCGUAGCCGACCUGAGAGGGGGAUCGGCCACACUGGAACUGAGACACGGUCCAGACUCCUACGGGAGGCAGCAGUAGGGAAUCUUCCGCAAUGGGCGAAAGCCUGACGGAGCAACGCCGCGUGAGGGAUGAAGGUCUUCGGAUCGUAAAACUCUGUUAUUAGGGAAGAACAAAUGUGUAAGUAACUAUGCACGUCUUGACGGUACCUAAUCAGAAAGCCACGGCUAACUACGUG